rnacentral:rRNA from 1 species
GACGUAGGUGGCGAACGUUAUCCGGAAUCAUUGGGCGUAAAGGGUGCGUAGAUGGCAUGAUAAGUUAUUAGUGGGAAAUCGAGGCUCAACCUCGUGGAAGCUAGUAAUACUGUUUUUGCUUGAGUACAGAAGAGGUUAAUGGAAUUCCAUGUGGAGCGGUAAAAUGUGUAGAUAUAUGGAAGAACAUCAAUAACGGCGAAGGCAGUUAACUAUUCUGUUACUGACAUUGAGGCACGAAAGCGUGGGGAGCAAAACGG